UACGUAGGGUGCGAGCGUUAAUCGGCAUUACUGGGCGUAAAGCGUGCGCCGGCGGUUCUCCCAGUCAGGUGUGAAAUCCCCGGGCUCCACCUGGGAAUUGCGCUUGAAACUAGCGAGCUUGAGUGUGGCAGAGGGGGGUGGAAUUCCACGUGUAGCAGUGAAAUGCGUAGAUAUGUGGAGGAACACCGAUGGCGAAGGCAGCCCCCUGGGUCAACACUGACGCUCAUGCACGAAAGCGUGGGGAGCAAACAGG
rnacentral:rRNA from 1 species